UGGGGAAUAUUGGACAAUGGGCGCAAGCCUGAUCCAGCAAUGCCGCGUGUGUGAAGAAGGCCUUCGGGUUGUAAAGCACUUUUAUCAGGAGCGAAAUCUGCAUGCUUAAUACGUGUGCAGUCUGACGGUACCCCCAAAGGAAGCACCGGCUAACUCUGUGCCAGCAGCCGCGGUAAUACAGAGGGUGCGAGCGUUGUCCGGAAUUACUGGGCGUAAAGGGCGCGUAGGCGGCUUGAUAAGUUGGAGGUGAAAUUCCAUGGCUCAACCAUGGAUCGGCCUUCUAGACUGUCAGGCUUGAGCACGGUAGAGGCAGAUGGAAUUCCCGGUGUAGCGGUGGAAUGCGUAGAGAUCGGGAAGAACACCAGUGGCGAAGGCGGUCUGCUGGGCCGUUGCUGACGCUGAGGCGCGACAGCGUGGGGAGCAAA
rnacentral:rRNA from 1 species